rnacentral:tRNA from 1 species
GGGGAGGUUGAAAUGUUGGUAUAAGCAGUAUUCAUUAAUACUGUGAUGAGUAUCUAAAGAUACUUACAACAUAAUCUAAUUAUUCGAAUAAAUUUGGGUUUUAUCUUUAACGAAGGUUCGAUUCCUUCCCUCCCCA